rnacentral:rRNA from 1 species
AUCCUGGUGUCUUUAGCGCAGUGGAACCACACCAAUCCAUCCCGAACUUGGUUGUGAAACAUUGCAGCGGCAAAAAUACUUUAGAGGUAGCUCUAUGGAAAAAUAGCUCGAUGCCAGGAU